rnacentral:rRNA from 1 species
UGUGUGACUGCGUACCUUUUGUAUAAUGGGUCAGCGACUUAUAUUCUGUAGCAAGGUUAACCGUAUAGGGGAGCCGGAGGGAAACCGAGUCUUAACCGGGCGUUAAGUUGCAGGGUAUAGACCCGAAACCCGGUGAUCUAGCCAUGGGCAGGUUGAAGGUUGGGUAACACUAACUGGAGGACCGAACCGACUAAUGUUGAAAAAUUAGCGGAUGACCUGUGGCUGGGGGUGAAAGGCCAAUCAAACCGGGAGAUAGCUGGUUCUCCCCGAAAGCUAUUUAGGUAGCGCCUCGUGAAUUCAUCUCCGGGGGUAGAGCACUGUUUCGGCUAGGGGGCCAUCCCGGCUUACCAACCCGAUGCAAACUGCGAAUACCGGAGAAUGUUAUCACGGGAGACACACGGCGGGUGCUAACGUCCGUCGUGAAGAGGGAAACAACCCAGACCGCCAGCUAAGGUCCCAAAGUCAUGGUUAAGUGGGAAACGAUGUGGGAAGGCCCAGACAGCCAGGAUGUUGGCUUAGAAGCAGCCAUCAUUUAAAGAAAGCGUAAUAGCUCACUGGUCGAGUCGGCCUGCGCGGAAGAUGUAACGGGGCUAAACCAUGCACCGAAGCUGCGGCAGCGAACGUAUCACUUAAAGCGAUUCAGCGGGUUACGAUUGACGGAGCGAAGCGACGUCAAAGCGUAUACAAAGUCGAGUCGGUUUAAGGAUACGUUCGUUGGGUAGGGGAGCGUUCUGUAAGCCUGUGAAGGUGUGUCGUGAGGCAUGCUGGAGGUAUCAGAAGUGCGAAUGCUGACAUAAGUAACGAUAAAGCGGGUGAAAAGCCCGCUCGCCGGAAGACCAAGGGUUCCUGUCCAACGUUAAUCGGGGCAGGGUGAGUCGACCCCUAAGGCGAGGCCGAAAGGCGUAGUCGAUGGGAAACGGGUUAAUAUUCCCGUACUUGGUGUUACUGCGAAGGGGGGACGGAGAAGGCUAUGUUGGCCGGGCGACGGUUGUCCCGGUUUAAGCGUGUAGGUGUGUGUUCCAGGUAAAUCCGGUUCACUUUAACACUGAGGCGUGAUGACGAGGCACUACGGUGCUGAAGCAACAAA